rnacentral:rRNA from 1 species
UAGCACCGUAUCUUCGGUAUAAGGUGUGGUUAGCUUUGUAUUAGGAUUUACUCCGAAAGCAAGGAAACUUACAACAAAGAGUCCCUCCCGACUGUUUACCAAAAACACAGCACUCUGCUAACUCGUAAGAGGAUGUAUAGGGUGUGACGCCUGCCCGGUGCUCGAAGGUUAAUUGAUGGGGUUAGCAUUAGCGAAGCUCUUGAUCGAAGCCCGAGUAAACGGCGGCCGUAACUAUAACGGUCCUAAGGUAGCGAAAUUCCUUGUCGGUUAAAUACCGACCUGCAUGAAUGGCGUAACGAGAUGGGAGCUGUCUCAAAGAGGGAUCCAGUGAAAUUGUAGUGGAGGUGAAAAUUCCUCCUACCCGCGGCAAGACGGAAAGACCCCGUGGACCUUUACUACAGCUUGACACUGCUACUUGGAUAAGAAUGUGCAGGAUAGGUGGGAGGCUUUGAGUAUAUGACGCCAGUUGUAUAUGAGCCAUUGUUGAGAUACCACUCUUUCUUAUUUGGGUAGCUAACCAGCUUGAGUUAUCCUCAAGUGGGACAAUGUCUGGUGGGUAGUUUGACUGGGGCGGUCGCCUCCCAAAUAAUAACGGAGGCUUACAAAGGUUGGCUCAGAACGGUUGGAAAUCGUUCGUAGAGUAUAAAGGUAUAAGCCAGCUUAACUGCAAGACAUACAAGUCAAGCAGAGACGAAAGUCGGUCUUAGUGAUCCGGUGGUUCUGUGUGGAAGGGCCAUCGCUCAAAGGAUAAAAGGUACCCCGGGGAUAACAGGCUGAUCUCCCCCAAGAGCUCACAUCGACGGGGAGGUUUGGCACCUCGAUGUCGGCUCAUCGCAUCCUGGGGCUGGAGCAGGUCCCAAGGGUAUGGCUGUUCGCCAUUUAAAGCGGUACGCGAGCUGGGUUCAGAACGUCGUGAGACAGUUCGGUCCCUAUCUGCCGUGGGCGUAAGAAGAUUGAAGAGAUUUGACCCUAGUACGAGAGGACCGGGUUGAACAAACCACUGGUGUAGCUGUUGUUCUGCCAAGAGCAUCGCAGCGUAGCUAAGUUUGGAAAGGAUAAACGCUGAAAGCAUCUAAGCGUGAAGCCAACUCUAAGAUGAAUCUUCUCUAAGCUCUCUAGAAGACUACUAGUUUGAUAGGCUGGGUGUGUAAUGGAUGAAAGUCCUUUAGCUGACCAGUACUAAUAGAGCGUUUGGCUUAUCUUUAAUAAAGCAU